AUAGGUAGGGGGCAAGCGUUGUCCGGAAUUACUGGGCGUAAAGGGUGCGUAGGCGGCCGAUUAAGUCAGAUGUGAAAUACCAGGGCUUAACCCUGGGGGUGCAUUUGAAACUGGUUGGCUUGAGUGCAGGAGAGGAAAGUGGAAUUCCUAGUGUAGCGGUGAAAUGCGUAGAGAUUAGGAGGAACACCAGUGGCGAAGGCGACUUUCUGGACUGUAACUGACGCUGAGGCACGAAAGCGUGGGUAGCGAACAGGAUUAGAUACCCUGGUAGUCCACGCCGUAAACGAUGGAUACUAGGUGUAGGAGGUAUCGACCCCUUCUGUGCCGUAGUUAACGCAAUAAGUAUCCCGCCUGGGGAGUACGGCCGCAAGGCUGAA
rnacentral:rRNA from 1 species